AUUAAAGCAGCCCCAGUAUACCCAGCCCAAAUUUAUAAUAUCCAACCCGGCCCCAUAUCCAUUCAGUCUUGGUGAUCGUAGAGAUCAACGGCCACAAUUACCCCUUUCCUUUUUUAGUCCCAAAUGCCCCCAAACAUGGCCAUCCUUACCAAACGGCCGCCUUAAACCCUCUUCUCUCCUUUCUCUCUGAGACCUAAACCUAACCCUAACUGUCGCCAUCUAAAACCAACCCUAAUCCCUUUAAUUCAUGUCCAAUCUAUGGCUUUCCAUAGUUGUACGAGGCCACUACUUGUCUUCUAUCUCCCUUGGUCGUUUAAUUGUGUGAUUUUGUGGAAGGAUUUCGAAGAGAUCUGGUCUAGAUCUCAUUUUAAUCUCUUUAAAAGUCCGUCUACUUUGCAAUUAUAGCCCUAGAAUCCUGCCUUGUGAUAAUUGCAUGCAUCUUGUUUGCUCACUAGCAUGUCCAAGCUACAUUGCUUGUUUACUGUCUCUCCAGUAUGUCGAAAUUCGGCUUGGGCUUAGUAUUUCUAAACUAUGAAUGUUUUAUGAAGUUCUUGCCUAGUUUUUUCAUCUAAAUCUUAUUUACUCUACUUUACUAAUGGGAUCCUGCUAAGUCAUCUAACCCUACAAGUACACUGAUUAUAUGUUCAAGAUCUAUGUGUUUUCAACAUCUCUUUGCUGUAAUCUUUGUAAUUAACUUACAAUUUCUGGAAAAGUUUGUGCAUUUGUUUGCUUAUACACUAGGGUGCAUUCUAUGUGUCCCCAACCCCUCUCUCCAUGUGUGGAAUCUGUCUGCCCCAAAAUGCUCCUGAAAGUUGUUUGUUUUUG
rnacentral:lncRNA from 1 species